rnacentral:rRNA from 1 species
UACGGAGGAUCCAAGCGUUAUCCGGAUUUAUUGGGUCUAAAGGGUGCGUAGGCGGCCUGUUAAGUCAGGGUGAAAGACGGUAGCUCAACUAUCGCAGUGCCCUUGAUACUGAUGGGCUUGAAUGGACUAGAGGUAGGCGGAAUGUGACAAGUAGCGGUGAAAUGCAUAGAUAUGUCACAGAACACCGAUUGCGAAGGCAGCUUACUAUGGUCCUAUUGACGCUGGAGGCACGAAAGCGUGGGGAUCAAACAGGA